rnacentral:tmRNA from 1 species
GGGGAUGAAAGGAUUUCGACGGGGAUUUUGAAACGUGAUAAGCGAGCAGCAGCGCGGAACUGCUUAAAAAGCCGCAACCUAAAUAAUAAACGACAACAAUAAAGUCGAACUCCAGGCCGCUUAAUAGCGCCUGCAUCCUGCCGGGGAGUACUGCGGCCCCGGUUUGGGUGUCACUUAGCAGUGCACGUGAAUACAUGGCCGCCCCGCCGUGUAUCAUGAAUGAGGGGCUACCGUACGGGAGAGCCUGCCGCUUGGCGCUCCCGGAGGGGAAUCACCAGUAAACCGGCUACGCUCGUAGAAAGUUGCGCGGAUGGAUUUUCGGACGCGGUUUCGAUUACCGCCAUCUCCACCA